UCUCAGAGAUGAGCGGCUACAGAAUUGUAUUCACAGAUGGUAAUUUACUUCCAUUAUGCUAAGAAACAGGUCAUACUCUAUCAACAAGCAGAUAUGAUCUUGUGAGAAUGCGUUUAGAAGACAAAUAGACAAACUGACCUGAAAAAUAAUACUGGUUAAAAGUACAGCUUAUUCUAAUUUUGUCUUUUUUUUAAAAAUUGUAUUUAACAGAGUGCAUAUGAUUCACUGGUACGAUGGGCAGAAGUGGAAACACCCAGAAGGAAAAAAAUUAAACGCAUUCUAGACUCAGAUGAUGAAAGUCCCACCAGCACUGACCGUGUAGUAGCUCCAGCAGUGUCAAAUACAGAGGAGUCUAUGCUUCCGAAACAGCCCAGUGUGAGUCUCGUAUCAUAAA